rnacentral:lncRNA from 1 species
GUGUGUGUGUGUGUGUGUCUGUGUGUGUCUGUGUGUGUGUGUGCACGCGCGCGCGCGCGCGCUCGCGCACAGAUUGUUGGGAAGGAGGGCUGGCUCCAGGGAGGACUGGUAUACUCCUUUCUCAUUUCCACUGGGAAAAAUGCCAUCUUUUAUCCACUCAGACCCGCCACGGAGAGUCAGGCGUUUUAAAGAUAAAUGGUAAAACUGAACUGGAAAUCCAUCUGGCCGGCUGCCUGCUCUAAUGAAUAACCCCACUUUGGCUCGUGCAAUGUAAGCAGAAAGUUCUCUCCCGGCCUCUUUCGUCCGUCAUGAAUCUACAAGACAGCCAACAUAAUAUCUGGGCGACAACAGUGCGCUAACAGCGCAGUGACUUCCAUUUUCUUUGCUUUCUAUUGAUUUUCACUUAAUAACUGGCGAAAUACUAAACGUCCGCCCUGAGUACCUAAUAAAUCCUGCC